GAUGAAAAUAAAAUGGGAAUGCCUGAGGG
rnacentral:piRNA from 1 species